rnacentral:rRNA from 1 species
CGUUGGGACUCUUGAAGUCUUAGUGGCGCAGCUAACGCACUAAGUAGACCGCCUGGGGAGUACGGCCGCAAGGUUAAAACUCAAAUGAAUUGACGGGGGCCCGCACAAGCGGUGGAGCAUGUGGUUUAAUUCGACGCAACGCGAAGAACCUUACCUGGCCUUGACAUGCAGAGAACUUUCCAGAGAUGGAUUGGUGCCUUCGGGAACUCUGACACAGGUGCUGCAUGGCCGUCGUCAGCUCGUGUCGUGAGAUGUUGGGUUAAGUCCCGUAACGAGCGCAACCCCUAUCCCUAGUUGCUAGCAGUUCGGCUGAGAACUCUAGGGAGACUGCCGGUGACAAACCGGAGGAAGGUGGGGAUGACGUCAGGUCAUCAUGGCCCUUACGGCCAGGGCUACACACGUGCUACAAUGGUGCGUACAGAGGGCUGCAAACCCGCGAGGGGGAGCUAAUCUCACAAAACGCAUCGUAGUCCGGAUCGGAGUCUGCAACUCGACUCCGUGAAGUCGGAAUCGCUAGUAAUCGCGAAUCAGAAUGUCGCGGUGAAUACGUUCCCGGGCCUUGUACACACCGCCCGUCACACCAUGGGAGUGGAUUGCACCAGAAGUGGUUAGUUUAACCUUCGGGAGGACGAU